UUUUUUUUUUUUUUUUUUUUUUUUUUUUUUCACGGAUUUGGGACAAACUUCAU
rnacentral:ribozyme from 1 species